GGGCCCGCACAAGCGGUGGAGCAUGUGGUUCAAUUCGACGCAACGCGAAGAACCUUACCUGGGUUGGAACCCCCCAGAAGUCCGCAGAGAUGUGGAUGUGCCCGCAAGGGAACUGGGUGUCCAGGUGCUGCAUGGCUGUCGUCAGCUCGUGUCGUGAGAUGUUGGGUUAAGUCCCGCAACGAGCGCAACCCUUGUCGUUAGUUGCUAACAGUUCGGCUGAGCACUCUAGCGAGACUGCCGGUGUUAAACCGGAGGAAGGUGGGGAUGACGUCAAGUCCUCAUGGCCCUUAUGCCCAGGGCUACACACGUGCUACAAUGGCCGGUACAGAGCGUCGCUAACCCGCGAGGGGGAGCCAAUCGCAAAAAACCGGCCUCAGUUCAGAUUGCAGUCUGCAACUCGACUGCAUGAAGUCGGAAUCGCUAGUAAUCCCUAAUCAGCAGGUAGGGGUGAAUACGUUCCCGGGCCUU
rnacentral:rRNA from 1 species